UUGUUUGCAUGAUAUUUGGUCUGUAUUUCUCAUAUAUCUUAUGAUGGUAUGAUAUUUUACAUCUGUUGGGAGGGAUUGUUUUUGAUUUUCAUAUCAAUCAGUUUGAUUUAGGUCUGGAGCUGGUCUGUCAGUAACUGCUUCUAGCCCUUUGUAAAUGAUUGCAUCAUUGUAAUGUUGCGGAUUCAGAUAUUCAACUUCCGCAUUUUAUCUUACAGUUCGUACAAUCAGAUCUUAUUCCAUAGCUAAUUUAUAUGAUUUCAAAGUUUAUUAUUUAGUUGAUAAGUUGGUUUCAAAAUGUAGUGGCCAAUAUAUCAAAGAUUUUAUGGACAAUGUCACAACGUAAGUGUUUUUCUAUAACAUGUUUAACUGUCAUUCAAACUAACAUGGCCAGACAUCAUUAGUUUUUCCAAUGCAAUUUUAAUUUAAAAAUCUCUACCUUGUCAUGACGACAUAUAUUUUUUUUCAUUUUUUAACAUGUAUGAUUAUGAUGAUAACAAUGAUGUGCUCUCAUAAUGUUAAUUAACAUUUACAUGAUAUAAUCUUCGUGGUUUUGUUGCAAAUCUAUUCCUUGUCAUGACAACAUAUAUUUUGAAUUUUUAAAACAUGUAUGAUAACAAUGUUUUGCUCUCCUAUUAGUUGAUUAGUUGACAUAAACAUGAUACAUUCUUCGUAAUUAUUUAAUUUUUAUUCUUAUUUUUAAAAAACCUUCUACGACUAUAUUUGACUCUAUGUUGAUGUCGUUUAUAUGUUUACGCCUUGGAUAUAAAGGGAAUUCUACGCAAAUUGCACGCUGAAGAAUUCUACUAUAAAUUGCACGUUAACCUGGUUCCAAGUCAAUUACCGCACUAUCUAACUAUUUGUUGUCAAGUAACAGUCUAAAUGUCCCGCUUUUUGUCUCCAUUGUUCCACCUGUCAGAACCUACAUGUAUUAUCAUGGAUCGGUAUAUCGUUGGUUACUACGUUUCGAAGUUUUUUGUUCAAAUCAUCUGAGCUAAGAAAAGAAGAAGAUGGUCUUACUAAUGAUAGAAGAGAACGGUUCAAAAGUUUACUAUGUUCAUCCGAGCCGACAACAGAACAAACGUUAAUAGAUUUGAUAAAACAUGACACGAAUAAUUUGUUGAAAUGGAUCAGAGGAGACAUCCAAACAAUACCUAAAUGGAUGAACGGAGACGACCCAAAAAUACCCGAAUGGACGAAAGGAGAAACAACAACAUUACCUGAACCCAUGACGUUUCAAAUGGUAUCAUUUAAUAGAAAAUCAUCGUUGGUAACGUUCCGAAUUAUAGUUUUGCAAAACCUAACGGUCGAUAUAGAAACGUUAAUAAAAUGGGUUGGAGAAAACGAAAACAUGUGUACUGUGUGUACCGAAGAAGACAAGAAAACAUUUAGAGAAUGGAUAAGUGACAAUCAGCAAACGAUAACGAAAUCGAUCACAAAAGACUCCAUGACGUUCAAUGACAUGAUAAAAGGACUCGACAACACAUUAGACGAAAAGACUAAACAAGACAUCAAAUAUUUAACAGGAACGAAAGGGCGAUCAUCCUUUAACACGUACAGACAUUAUCAUAUCGUUUUAUCAAAAACAAGCAAUAAGAACACGAUGACUGAAAUUGGAGCGAGGGCCAUGUUUGAACCAGGAUGUCCAUCUGCUUUAAAUAUAACUUCAACAAAAGUUGAAUUAAAAUGGGACGAACCAAGUGUAGGUGCUGAUUUUAUAGACUUUUAUAAGAUAAUGUGUGAGGAAAAACGCAUAUGUGUGACAUGUUUCUUUGAAACUCCUGGAAGUUCUUGCAAGUAUGUCGUAGAAGGAUUAAAACCCAACACUGAGUAUGCAUUUACAAUUCAAGCAAUCAAGAAAGGGGGAAAUAAAGGAACCGUCAGUCAAACGUUUACAGUAUCAACUUUGGAAAUUACCUUCGAUCGAACUGCCGAGUUAUUAUAUGUUUUGUUUUACAUUGCAGUGUUAAUAUGGUUCACGUACUUAUUUUGUUAUACUGUGACUACAACAUAAAUGACUUGUGCCACUAUUUGUACAUCUUUCAUUAUUCGGGAGAACAUUAAACAUGUCAAAGAUAGAAAAAUAAUAAAAUAUUGUAUUUUUCAACAAGAUUCGACAAGAAUCAAAUGCGUGAUUGUUGUUUGUAAUUUGUCAGCUGUAAAAAAAAUGGUAUAUUCUUUUAAUGAAAUUAUCUUGAUUUAA